UGGGGAAUAUUGGACAAUGGGCGCAAGCCUGAUCCAGCAAUGCCGCGUGAGUGAGGAAGGCCUUAGGGUUGUAAAGCUCUUUCACCCACGACGAUGAUGACGGUAGUGGGAGAAGAAGCCCCGGCUAACUUCGUGCCAGCAGCCGCGGUAAUACGAAGGGGGCGAGCGUUGUUCGGAUUUACUGGGCGUAAAGGGCGCGCAGGCGGCGGACCAAGUCAGGCGUGAAAGCCCCGGGCUCAACCUGGGAACUGCGUUUGGGACUGGUUUGCUAGAGAUCGGGAGAGGAGAGUGGAAUUCCCAGUGUAGAGGUGAAAUUCGUAGAUAUUGGGAAGAACACCGGUGGCGAAGGCGGCUCUCUGGACCGAUACUGACGCUGAGGCGCGAAAGCGUGGGGAGCAAACAGG
rnacentral:rRNA from 1 species